AUUGAACGCUGGCGGCAUGAUUUACACAUGCAAGUCGAACGGUAACAGGCCGCAAGGUGCUGACGAGUGGCGAACGGGUGAGUAAUGCAUCGGAACGUGCCCAGUCGUGGGGGAUAACUACUCGAAAGAGUAGCUAAUACCGCAUACGAUCUAUGGAUGAAAGCGGGGGACCGUAAGGCCUCGCGCGAUUGGAGCGGCCGAUGUCAGAUUAGGUAGUUGGUGGGGUAUAGGCUCACCAAGCCAACGAUCUGUAGCUGGUCUGAGAGGACGACCAGCCACACUGGGACUGAGACACGGCCCAGACUCCUACGGGAGGCAGCAGUGGGGAAUUUUGGACAAUGGGCGCAAGCCUGAUCCAGCAAUGCCGCGUGCAGGAAGAAGGCCUUCGGGUUGUAAACUGCUUUUGUACGGAACGAAACGGCUCUGGUUAAUACCCGGGGCUAAUGACGGUACCGUAAGAAUAAGCACCGGCUAACUACGUG
rnacentral:rRNA from 1 species